GUACCAUCCUCUACCCAUCCUGAUGCCUCUGUAGUUGGGGUCCAGCAUCCAGCAGACACUCAAAUACUCAAGGCUGCAGGUGGACCUCUUGGAGAUGACAGCAUGGUCCUCACACUGACAAGAUGAUGGGAAGCACAUAAGCUGAGGGUGUGGACUUGGGACACGCCUCUGAGAUCCAACUUGCUCCCAUCUAGAGGGUGAAAUGAGGCAACCUGCCUAAGGAAACCACUAGACAGAGAAAAACAGAUGGACGAGAACCGAGAUUUCCUGUCUCCUGAUCUUCACUCUCUCCACUAUUCCAUAAGAGUCCAGAAACUCUCAGCAUACACGAAGUAAAGAUGGGGUCUGCUUAAUGAACUCAAAGCUUGAGGAGUGAAGGGGGCCAUGAAAAAGGUUGAGGGCCCAGUCCUGCCUGGCUUCUGCAGUGCACAGAGGCAAUCUGUGCCUCACCUCGCUGUCUCUGCCUAUGGUUUAUGCAAAGCCCUUCCGAGAAGUCCAUUCUGAAUCAGAGAGAGUUUCCAGUUACAACUUUCAUCAGAUGCUCAAAGGGAUUAGAAAGGAUCCCAAAGAAUGGAGAAUCGCUACAAAUUCCUGGUGCAGCAGAGCUCCAUGUUCACGUUGGUGUGUUCCAUCAUGCUGCAGCCUCAGCUCCUGUGAUCCACAUGACACAUCUUGACCAGAUCAGCUUGCCCCAUGUAUUCCGAUGGAAUGCCAGCAACGGCCUCAGCCUCUAAUCUCCAACUUCCAACAGCAGCUUGGAUUUCAUGGCCAGAUAUCAGAACUGUGCAGCCCAAUCCUUCCCUGAAAAUUUGCAGUUCAGGUUGACAUAGCACAUACGGGACUCUGUAGGAUUGAAAUAUGCUACCAAAGAAGGAAAGAACAUGAUGUGAAGUGGAAGAAGCUGAUAAGAAAAAAAUGAGAAGAAAUGUUGAGAGGGAAGGGAGACUAGCAAGGAAGGAAAGCAGUUGUGAAAUAAUGUUAUGAGAAGGAAGAGGUCUAUUAGGGUUCUGCAAGAUGGAGAGCUAACAUAUCCCCAAGGUGCUGGAAACAGCUGCAAAAGCUGUAUGAAAUAGUUUUAGAAGAGAAUUAAAAUAUGCUUUAAAAAGAAAAUUUAAAGUCAGAGUGGUGACCUGAGUGGAUACCUGUCUAUCUGGAGGCUAGGAUUUAAAGUUCAUGUAGGCAUAAGCCUCAUUUUGGGUGAGGCAAGGUGUUGGAACUAAGAUCCCCAAAAUCUAAGGCCCUCAGAUCCAAAAAACACAUAUUUCCCCAAGUAAUCCAAAUUCCAUGCUUGAUCCUUAUUCAGACUUGGAGCUUAAAUUUAUAUCAUAUUCCAGGAAGCCUCACUUAAAAAUAUAAACAGAAAAUUCGGUCAGGAAAUUGAUGCCCUGGCACUCCUUGCAUAAGUAAAUGCAAAACCCACACAGGAGAACACAGACACACCUAGGUGGCAAGGGAUCCUCACAAAAUGACAAGACUUACUGAAGAUGAGCCCAUGAUAAAAAAGUCAUAGAAUAGCAAGUAACAAUUUUUGUGUGAGGUACAGGCAGUGGACACAAGAUACGGGAGGAUUAGACCCAAUAAUGUGAGUUACUAGAAUGGAACUUAGAAAGUAACAACCAGGGGCACCUGGGUGGCUCAGUGGUUGAGCGUCUGCCUUUGGCUCAGGUCAUGAUCCUGGGGUCCUGGGGUCGAGUCCCACAUUGGGCUCCCCGCAGGGAGCCUACUUCUCCCUCUGCCUGUG